rnacentral:rRNA from 1 species
UACGUAGGGUGCAAGCGUUGUCCGGAAUUACUGGGCGUAAAGCGUGCGCAGGCGGUUUGCUAAGACAGGUGUGAAAUCCCCGGGCUUAACCUGGGAACUGCGCUUGUAACUGGCAAGCUAGAGUGUGGCAGAGGGGGGUGGAAUUCCACGUGUAGCAGUGAAAUGCGUAGAGAUGUGGAGGAAUACCGAUGGCGAAGGCAGCCCCCUGGGUCGAUACUGACGCUCAUGCACGAAAGCGUGGGGGGCAAACAGG